CCUACGGGUGGCAGCAGUGAGGAAUAUUGGUCAAUGGGCGAGAGCCUGAACCAGCCAAGUCGCGUGAAGGAUGACGGCCCUACGGGUUGUAAACUUCUUUUGUCAGGGAGCAAUUGGGUCCACGCGUGGGCUUAGCGAGAGUACCUGAAGAAAAAGCAUCGGCUAACUCCGUGCCAGCAGCCGCGGUAAUACGGAGGAUGCGAGCGUUAUCCGGAUUUAUUGGGUUUAAAGGGUGCGCAGGCGGUCUGUUAAGUCAGCGGUCAAAGCCCGGGGCUCAACCCCGGCCCGCCGUUGAAACUGGCAGUCUCGAGUUGGAGAGAAGUAUGCGGAAUGCGCGGUGUAGCGGUGAAAUGCAUAGAUAUCGCGCAGAACUCCGAUUGCGAAGGCAGCAUGCCGGCUCCACACUGACGCUGAGGCACGAAAGCGUGGGUAUCGAACAGGAUUAGAUACCCUAGUAGUC
rnacentral:rRNA from 1 species